rnacentral:rRNA from 1 species
AGUUUGAUCAGUGGCUCAGGACGAACGCUGGCGGGCGUGCUUAACACAUGCAAGUCGAACGGUAAGGCCCUUCGGGGUACACGAGUGGCGAACGGGUGAGUAACACGUGGGUGAUCUGCCCUGCACUUCGGGAUAAGCCUGGGAAACUGGGUCUAAUACCGGAUAGGACUCCUGGCUUCAUGGUUGGGGGUGUAAAGCUUUUGCGGUGUGGGAUGGGCCCGCGGCCUAUCAGCUUGUUGGUGGGGUAAUGGCCUACCAAGGCGACGACGGGUAGCCGGCCUGAGAGGGUGACCGGCCACACUGGGACUGAGAUACGGCCCAGACUCCUACGGGAGGCAGCAGUGGGGAAUAUUGCACAAUGGGCGCAAGCCUGAUGCAGCGACGCCGCGUGAGGGAUGACGGCCUUCGGGUUGUAAACCUCUUUCAAUAGGGACGAAGCGCAAGUGACGGUACCUAUAGAAGAAGGACCGGCCAACUACGUG